rnacentral:rRNA from 1 species
GGUCAGGACGAACGCUGGCGGCGUGCCUAACACAUGCAAGUCGAGCGAGGAGAUCCUUCGGGAUGAUCCUAGCGGCGGACGGGUGAGUAACACGUGGGCAACCUGCCUCAUAGAGAGGAAUAGCCUUCCGAAAGGGAGAUUAAUACCUCAUAACAUUGCAGUUUCGCAUGGAACAGCAAUUAAAGGAGUAAUCCGCUAUGAGAUGGGCCCGCGGCGCAUUAGCUAGUUGGUGAGGUAACGGCUCACCAAGGCGACGAUGCGUAGCCGACCUGAGAGGGUGAUCGGCCACAUUGGGACUGAGACACGGCCCAGACUCCUACGGGAGGCAGCAGUGGGGAAUAUUGCACAAUGGGGGAAACCCUGAUGCAGCAACGCCGCGUGAGUGAUGACGGCCUUCGGGUUGUAAAGCUCUGUCUUCAGGGACGAUAAUGACGGUACCUGAGGAGGAAGCCACGGCUAACUACGUGCCAGCCGCGGC